rnacentral:rRNA from 1 species
UACGUAGGGUGCGAGCGUUAAUCGGAAUUACUGGGCGUAAAGCGUGCGCAGGCGGUUUUGUAAGCCAGAUGUGAAAUCCCCGGGCUUAACCUGGGAAUGGCAUUUGGGACUGCAAGGCUCGAGUGCGGCAGAGGAGACUGGAAUUCCUGGUGUAGCAGUGAAAUGCGCAGAUAUCAGGAGGAACACCAAUUGCGAAGGCAGCUCGCUGGGACGUUACUGACGCUGAGACGCGAAAGCGUGGGGAGCGAACAGG